AGUGAACGCUGGCGGUAGGCCUAACACAUGCAAGUCGAACGGCAGCACAGUAAGAGCUUGCUCUUACGGGUGGCGACUGGCGGACGGGUGAGGAAUACAUCGGAAUCUAUUUUUUCGUGGGGGACAACGUAGGGCAACUUCUGCUAAUACAUAAUACGACUUAAGGGUGAAAUUAGGGGUUAUUGGGACCUUGCGAUAUUGAAUGAGCCGAUGUCGGAUUAGUUAGUUGGCGGGGUAAAGGCCCACCAAGGCGACGGUCCGUAGCUGGUCUGAGAGGAUGAUCAGCCACACUGGAACUGAGACACGGUCCAGACUCCUACGGGAGGCAGCAGUGGGGAAUAUUGGACAAAGGGCGCAAUCCUGAUCCAGCCAUACCGCGUGGGUGAAGAAGGCCUUCGGGUUGUAAAGCCCUUUUGUUGGGAAAGAAAAGCAGCAGGUUAAUACCCCGCUGUUCUGACGGUACCCAAAGAAUAAGCACCGGCUAACUUCGUG
rnacentral:rRNA from 1 species